UCUCAUUUUAUCCCCGCAGAGGUAGACGAUUCGCUAAAUAAGAGUCGAGUUGUUGUCAAAAUCUUUAUUGAAAACGUUGUCGCAGUUGAAAAAAAUGACGCUAAACAUACUGAAGUGUCGUGCUACUAAUUGCGGCUUGCGUCAAUUAAAAGAAUUGUCAGUUUAUUCAGCACUAAAAUUAUAUUUGUCUACUUCAGCAGUUAAGAUGUACAGUAAGGAUUGCGAAGGAAGCAAAGGUUACAGAAUAGAAAGAGAUACAUUUGGAGAACUAAAAGUUCCAAGUGAUAAAUAUUAUGGUGCCCAAACUCUUCGAUCAGUGAUGAAUUUUCCAAUUGGUGAUACAUUCGAACGUAUGCCUUAUGGUGUGAUAGUUGCUAUGGGUAUAUUAAAAAAGGCUGCUGCAAAAGUAAAUACAGAAUAUGGUUUGGAUCCUAAAAUUGCUGAUGCCAUUAGCAAAGCUGCAGAUGAUGUAAUAAGUGGAAAGUUAUAUAACGAUCACUUUCCCUUAGUUAUUUGGCAAACUGGAUCUGGCACACAAACCAAUAUGAAUACCAAUGAGGUUAUUUCCAAUCGUGCAAUCGAGAUACUUGGUGGUGAACUCGGCUCAAAGAAACCUGUGCAUCCAAACGAUCAUGUUAAUAUGUCACAAAGUAGCAAUGAUACUUUUCCAACAGCUAUGCAUAUAUCUGUGGCCUUGGAAAUCAACAAAGUUUUGCUACCAGGUUUAGAACAAUUGCACAAAGCAUUAAAGGAAAAGUCAGAAAAAUGGAAGGAUAUUAUAAAAAUUGGUAGAACGCAUACUCAAGAUGCAGUCCCCCUGACAUUGGGUCAAGAAUUUUCAGGGUAUGCUAUGCAGAUCGAAUAUGGCAUUAAGAGAGUGAAAGAUACGCUACCGAGAUUGUAUCAAUUAGCUCUCGGUGGUACAGCAGUCGGAACUGGAUUAAAUACACGAAAAGGCUUUGCGGAAAAAACAGCUGCAAAAAUCGCUGAAUUCACCAACUUACCAUUUGUUACCGCUCCGAAUAAAUUCGAGGCUCUGGCUGCGCAUGAUGCGAUAGUCGAAGUACACGGUGCUCUUAAUACGGUGGCUGUUUCUAUCAUGAAGGUGGCAAAUGAUAUUAGAUUCCUUGGAAGUGGACCGAGAUGUGGUUUAGGAGAAUUAUCUCUUCCGGAGAAUGAGCCUGGAAGUUCUAUCAUGCCUGGAAAAGUAAAUCCUACGCAGUGUGAAGCAAUCACUAUGGUGUGCAGUCAAGUAAUGGGCAACCAUGUAGCGGUAUCCGUUGGUGGCAGCAAUGGACACUUUGAGCUGAACGUUUUUAAACCUGUUAUGGUUGCCAACACUUUGAGAUCCGCGAGGCUGUUAGGUGACGCCUGCAACGCGUUCACAAAGAAUUGUGUUGCAGGCAUUGAACCAAAUAUUGAAAAUAUAAAGAAGAUAAUGAAUGAAAGUUUAAUGCUUGUCACAGCAUUAAAUCCGCAUAUUGGUUAUGACAAGGCUGCUGCAAUAGCUAAACAAGCGCACAAAGAAAAUCUGACACUGAAACAAUCUGCACUGAAACAUGGAUUAACGGAGGAGCAAUUCAAUCAAUGGGUUAAACCUGAACAAAUGCUUGGUCCGAAAUAAUUUUCUUGUUGAAAAAUGUUGAAACAUGCAGUGUUAUAAAUGUAAUAUUCCGUAACAUAUUUGAAUAAAAAUAAAUAAGACCGCUUGUUGGGUACGGGUACUUACAAGGAUGAUUGUAAUUACAUGUGUAGUGGAUAAUCA